AGGUUACUGCUAUCGGUGUUCGCCUAAGCCAUGCGAGUCAUAUGUUCUUCGUGAACAUGGCGUACUGCUCAGUAACACGUGGGUAACCUGCCCUUGGGACCGGGAUAACCCCGGGAAACUGGGGAUAAUACCGGAUAACGCAUAUCUGCUGGAAUGCUUUAUGCGUAAAAUGGAUUUGUCUGCCCAAGGAUGGGUCUGCGGCCUAUCAGGUAGUAGUGGGUGUAAUGUACCUACUAGCCUACGACGGGUACGGGUUGUGAGAGCAAGAGCCCGGAGAUGGAUUCUGAGACAUGAAUCCAGGCCCUACGGGGCGCAGCAGGCGCGAAAACUUUACAAUGCGGGAAACCGUGAUAAGGGGACACCGAGUGCCAGCAUCAUAUGUUGGCUGUCCAGAUGUGUAAAAUACAUCUGUUAGCAAGGGCCGGGCAAGACCGGUGCCAGCCGCCGCGGUAACACCGGCGGCCCGAGUGGUGAUCGUGAUUAUUGGGUCUAAAGGGUCCGUAGCCGGUUUGGUCAGUCCUCCGGGAAAUCUGACGGCUCAACCGUUAGGCUUUCGGUGGAUACUGCCAGACUUGGAACCGGGAGAGGUAAGAGGUACUACAGGGGUAGGAGUGAAAUCUUGUAAUCCCUGUGAGACCACCUGUGGCGAAGGCGUCUUACCAGAACGGGUUCGACGGUGAGGGACGAAAGCUGGGGGCACGAACCGGAUUAGAUACCCGGGUAGUCCCAGCCGUAAACGAUGCUCGCUAGGUGUCAGGCAUGGCGCGACCGUGUCUGGUGCCGCAGGGAAGCCGUGAAGCGAGCCACCUGGGAAGUACGGCCGCAAGGCUGAAACUUAA
rnacentral:rRNA from 1 species